UGUACUGUCAAUGAAAAAUUAUAACACUGGCUCCAUUUAUGCCCAGUUUGAGUGUUUAUAUAUUGAAUAGCAUUUGAAUCAAAAGGAGAUUACCUUAGUACUUCCAAGGAAAGUACAGAAGCAUUUUUUAAAUGUAAGAUAAACAAAAACAUUUCGGGAGCUAAAUUUAGUCAUUCUUUAUGUUUUUUUUCAGUCAUUGCCUUUCCCUGACUCUGAAGUGAGCAGCAAUAAACAACCUUUACUUCUGGUAUUGACACCAGUUCUGACUAAGGCUGCCCUGAGAUGAGCGGGACCUCAGCUUGAGAGCUGAAGCAGAUGCUGAAGGAGUUAACAGUUGGAGGCUGUCAGCCAGGCACACUCCUCGAAGCUGGCCAGUGAUUCCUUCUUUGAACAAGAAUGAGUGAUGAAUCUCCAUUUCUGCCUCACGGGAAUAAGGAUCCAUCAUGUCUAACAUACCCAGAGAAGCUCCUAGGGGAUGGUCUGCUACUGAGAGUCACAAAUAGAAGAAUGUUUUGAAGAGGUCCAGGGAUAAGAUACAUUCAUGCUUUAAACGUGCUUCAGUCCUGUCAACCUUAUGUGUGUAGAUGAAGAUCCCAUUUAUUUCAUCUAUGUUAACUGGUCUGAGUCCCAGGCCUGCUGCUUCCUCUGUCUAUGUUCGGCUCAGUCCCUUCACUUCUCACCAUUCAGCAUUCCCACCGUUGAGUUACAGGGCCUGACUUACUUAAAUCCAUGCUCAGGACGUGUAAAAAGCCAAUGUUUUUAUUUCCAAAGACAUACUUCAAGCCUGGUGACAUGAAAACAGUGCUGCCUGAUUGGAUUUUCUCCUACAGAAUGGAGACCAUAAAACGGACUUAUGUUCAAUAUCAAUUAUUCAUACACCAACAACUUGUGUGUCCACAAGUUACCACUUGCCUCUUCACCAACAAUAAAAUGCAGCUUCGCUCUGAAUAGAAUGCAGGUUGCUGUCAGAGAUCUUGAGCUUCUACAAAAACGUGUAACAGAAAACCAACAACCAAUUCCACGGGGAUAUUGAGGAUACGCAGUGGUUUUUCAACACACCCUGAAGAAAUGAUAACGUGCAAACUGCGGCAUCUUAUUUCAGUCAAACGGUCUUUAGUGAAUCCUUUGGACACAGCUUUUGAAGUCUAAAUUACAUUAGAAUUCAUUCUAUGGAAAUGUGAUUUAUGAGGCAAUUCUUUUCUGAUAUUUGCUUGGUAUUCUUUUUAUGUAAAAAACGAGAAGCUCAAUUUUAAUCUGAAGAAUUAUAAAAGUGCCUCUCCCGAACCGGCACCUUGUCUCAUUCCCACUGAGUCAGUCAGGAUGAGCAGGCUCAUUUUCUUGAAUGGACAUGUGUUAAUCCUGUGCUUAAUGACACGAUCCAACUGUAUCUGGAUUGAAUAAAUCAUCAGUUAAAAACUAUGAAACGAUAGCCUUUUUUCCAGUUCUCUGACCCAUAUCUUGGAUUAUGGACCCCACUAAGAAUAUGCUCCUCAUCAUAAACUCCCUUCCUCUAAUUCUUAAAGUUAUUUUAACAUUCUUUAAUGUCAAAUAUGAUUUGCUGACUUAAUAUAUUCAAUCAUUUGUUUCAUGUGCCCAAUAUCAUAUAGAUACCUCCUGGGGACUACAAAUGUCCCAGAGGCUGUCCUUGCUCUCAAAGAGCUUACACAGUCUUCUGGGGUUGACAGACAUUUAACAAAUCUGUGACAAGGGAUAUGAUAGGAGUACAAAAUAGAUACCAAAAAUGGCAGAGGUGGGAAGAAAUGAAUUCUGGCUGGAGAAAUUAUCAGACCCCUCCUCAGAGUACAUGCCCUUUACCUACAUCUGGAAAGAUGAGCAGAAGAUCCAUAGAAGCAAGACACCCAUCCCCAGGCAAGGAGAUGAGGGAGUUUGUGUUGUGUGUUCAGGUGGUGGUGACAGACCCAGGUUGUGGGUCUCCAAAGGCAUUUUCACAGGCAAAACAGAAAGAAUGGAACACCGACUCCUUAAUCUUCAACUGCUUUUAAGUUGUUCUGAGUCAACAGAGAAGUUAAUGCACAAGAUGUGUGAUAAUGGAGACAUUUACUUAUAAUAAAAUACAAAAGUGGGAAAAUCAGAUCACUUGGUUCUUUUUGGAUGGUAGUCAGAAAAAAAUUAAAUUAUCCAUCUUUUAGGCCAUGGAAUCAAUAUGAGAUGUCUUAAUCACUUGUCGCCCACGACCAAAUGGGAUUCAGAAAAUGAUUCCCACGUCUUCUCCUCACACUAAGAAAUGGCAGGUGGCACACACUUAGAAACUGCUCCUGACUGGGCUAGAAGAUGGGAAGCAGAGCAGAAAUAGGCAUCAAAGAGUCUAACUGUAAACAACUUUUUUAAACCAAUUAUCCCCUAAAGUCUCUAGAGCAAGCAAACAUUCCAGUACAUGUUUCUGCAGUUACCAACAUUUCGUUGGAUUUGUUUUCCAUUUUUAGUGAAGGUAUUCGGGAUUAGGUGAGGUAGCAACUUGAUCCACUGAACACUCACCUGGAAACUUGUCUUGGAAUUCUUUUCUGAUGAAGAUUAAAUUUCUUGGCCGAAGUUGAAACAAAGGGUAGAACUGGGGCCAUGUUAAGACUUGUCUAUAAGGUAUGUGGCAUGUGCUAUACUUCAUUUCCUGCCCAAAUGAGAUGUGCUUUAGUGAAGCUCAUAAAUGAAGUUCAUGAGAAACACAAACGUUGUAUGUCUCACUACCAUAUUCCUUAGGAAUGCAGCUCUUACGCCGUUAGCACAGCCCUCGGAAAGUUGCUGGCUCCAUUCUACUCCUGUCUGUUCGCUAAAAGCGAUUUGAUCAUAGCCAAGCACGGCCCUGGGAUCUUUCAGCUAUUGAACUGGUACAUUCCUGUUAGAGGGAAAAUUGCCUAAACUCCAAAUAAUGAACUUAAGGAGGAUGAGAUGAAAUAUCCCUGCUAUGAUAGGCUGAUUACUAAGAUAGCUCCUAAUGCUCUUUGCCUCCUGGUAUUUGUGCCCUCCUGUAAUCCCUUCCUCUUUUGUGCAGCUGGACCUAGUAAUCUGAUUCUAAGGAAUGGGAUAUGGCAAAAGUGAGGGGAUGUCACUUCCAAGACUAGGUUUUAAAAGUCUGUGACUCCCCUCUUGCCAGCACUAUCUUUUGCUAACCUGCUCUCUCACUCUAUGGCUCUCCUUGCUCUGGGGAAGGAAGAUGACAUAUUUCAAGUUGCCCUGUGGGGAGGCCCAUAUGGUAAGGAAUUGGCCGACAGCCAGUGAGUAAAUGAGGCCCUCAGUCCAAAUGCCUGCAAGGAAUGGAAUCCCGUCAACAACCAUGCACGCCAGUGAGCUUGAAGGCAGAUUUUCCUUCAGUUGCUCACUGAGAUGACUACAGCCUGUGAAAGUUGCUGAGCUGGAGGACCCAGCUAAGCCAUGCUCAGAUUCCAGACCUAUAGAAAUCAAGAUAAUAAAUGUUUCAAGCCACUAAGUUUUCAGGUAUUUGUUACACAGCAAUGGAUAACUAAUACACCUACUUAUAGAAGUGGUAAGGCUUGCUAGUGGGAGCACAAAGGUUGGAAAGAGAAUGGGUAUAUUCAUUUGUGUCUGUCUGAGUCACCAACCCAGAUAGGAUCUUUGUGACAGAUGGUCUCCAUACACUGUUUAUAAUCACUGCAACAACCUGGGAAAGGUAGCGUUAUUCAUAUAUUUUGGCCAAAACUGAGGUUAUGGGAGCUUAGUUACUUGGCUCAGAACACAUAGCUAGAAGAUGACAGAAAUGAGAGAGAAACCAAAGGAACUCUUCCUCUGAAGCCUUGGUUCCUUCCUCUGCAUUAAUGGGUCAGAAGAGGCAAGCAUGAGGUUGGGGUGGGGGCUGGGGGGGAAAUCAGAAUCACCUGGAGAUCUUUUUAAAGCUAGUUAUGUCACUUUCCUUUCUGGAGGUCCUGACAGUUUGGACUGAACCACAGCACACAGUGGAGUUUCACCAAAACAGCACUGAACUUAACACAAGUUCAGCCAUAUUCCUUGUAGUUUGGGCCUGUAAUCAGAAAAUAAAAAUUGCACAUGUCAAGCAGGUUCUGGUUGAGAAUCGGGUAGUCCUUAGAAGCCUCCAUGGGUAUUGAGGAAGGUGAUCAUGUGACUUUGGCAUUCUGGUGUUGGGUUGUUUUAGCUAAGUUAAAAAUAAAAUAGCACCCAGAGCUCCACUCUUUGAUGGGCUCAAUAUACAGUCUGAUGUGUGCUGCACCCUACCACAUCUAUAGCCAUAAGCUGGUAAAAUAGGUUUAGCUAAAAAAGGACAGGUUGGGAGUAGAGUGGAUGAGUGGCGGGUGUGAAUGGGUGGUGAGUGCUGCUUUCAUUUGACGGUGGGAAGAAGAUUGUGAAAUAAUGGAAGAGUACACUUCAAUGUUGCAUCUUAAAAAGGCAUGGGUGGCCCUGGAUGCUCCUGUAAUGGCUUCUAGAGCUGAGCAGAGCAGCUGCAGAGUUGCUUAGACUCUGAGAACAGGCUGUGGCCCUGUUUCACCAGCUCCUGGGCCAGGUCCUGGGUCUCUCUUCCACCAUCAGUCCUUCAGCUCUGGCUAUAGCUUCUCCACUCCUGGCCAGGAAAGCCUGGGUGGGUCUCCCAUGGCUCAUGGGUUCUCAUGCCGGUCCCAGCCUUCCUUCCAUAUGACCUCUUUACGUAUUUGUGAGGGACAUCACAAUUAACUGACAAAGCUUGGUUUCUCCUGGACAGGAUGACUGUAGUGUCUUCUUCUUCAUCUCCUUCUUGCUACCUCAUUGCAUUUUGCAUAGAGGAUUUUUCUAGAGCAGCACUGCCCAAUGAUGUAGCCACUAGCCACAUGAGGCUAUGCAGCAUGUAAAAUGUGGCUAGGGACUAGGGAAUAUAGUCAGUAAUAUUGCAAUAACUUUAUAUCAUGACAGAUUAUUAGACUUAUUGUGGGGAUCAUUGUGUGCCAAAUCACUAUGACGUGCACCUGAAACUAAUAGGAUGUUGUAUGUCAAUCAUACUUCAAUAAAAAAAGGAAAAAUUGAAAAGAAAAAUGUGGCUAAUGAGACCAAAGAACUGAAUUUUUCAUUUGGUUUAAUUUUAAUUCAUUUAAAUUUAAGAAACCAUAUGUGGCUGGUAGCUAAUGUGUUGGAUUGCGCCAUUCUAGAGGCUGUCAUCCUUAUGUUAUUCUUUUGUUAAUUUAUUUUUCUUAAUAUUUAUAGAACAUUUCCUAUGUGCCAGGCACUAUAGUUAGAAUUUUUGCAUGUAUUCAUCCAAUUUUCACAAAAUCUGAUGAAGCUGAUUAUAUUAUUUACAUUUUCCAGAGCAGAAAGUUGAAUUUUAGAGGGAUGAAGUGUCGUGCCUCAAAUCACACAGGCAAGAGACAGGAUUCAAAAUAAAGUCUAUCUGGCUCCAGUCCUGUGUUUCCCAUACAGAAGAAUGAGGCUAAAUCGGUAGGAAUGGAGAGUAAAACAAAAUGGACAGAAGACAACAUAUAACCAUUGUUAUGAGUUAUUUCAUUUUAUUGCAUAUUAUAAACACUUUGGCCACAGGAAAUACGUUAGUUUUUAAAUAACCAUAAUUCAAAGCUUUCACAUCAUAUACUAUCUUCCUCCAAAAUGUAUCAUCUACAAAAAUAGUGAACUCCGAAAGUCUAUACUGA